AGCUGGUGAUGGACAGGGAGGCCUGGUGUGCUGCAGUCCAUGGGGCCGCAGAGUUGGACAUGACUGAGCUACUGAACUGAACUGAACUGAACAGUGAAGACACUGAGCCUGUCUCCUUUCCGCGUCCCCCUUCUUCCUGCUCUCAAGGCUCCACCGUCGUCUGCACACACCUCUGCCUUCCCAGGAACCCAGGGCCCCCGGUUACCCCUCUCCUGGAUCUUCAUUUCCUCCUCGUCGACUGACCACCCCCACCCCACCCCGAGAACCGCUCUGCUGGAUCGCUGCCUGGUUCUGAGCAGCUUUGAUGGAUUUCCAGCCGCUCCCCACCUCCCCUUUCUUGCCAGCCAGCUUCUCUCGGUCCUUAAUGUUCUGAAAGUGAGUGACGGCAUGUCUCCGGGUGGGCUUAACAUUUUAUCUUGCAUGGUGUUGGGUGGAAAACGACCUUUCCAUGAGGGGGCUUGUCUCUCCCAGCUCGGGACAAUGUCUUGCUCUCUGUCUGGAUGCUGCGUCUCUUCCCGUCUCGGUUUGUGCCUCUUGGAACUCCUGCAGGUCCUCAUCCUCACCUGUAUUUAUGUUUUCUGUUUCUUUACGGUGUGUUCUUUGGAAACUUGCUGCCGUGUCCUGGGAGAACGACUUUGCCAUCAUUCUCGCCACAGUGAUGUGAACUUUAGGAUCUGGAUGAAAUAACACCCAGGGAAUCAACUUUCUAGGCUGAUUGCCACAAAGCGUGCAAAGAUAGCCAGUGUCUCAAUGUGAAUGCAGAAGCUAGACAUAAAUCAUCGUGUUUCUUUGGUCUGAUCCACGUGGGAUGGAUCGUGAGAGACGGAGGGAAAGCCCUGAACUCUGGGACGGGCCCCAGGCCCCCUCCCUCCCCGCCUCCCUUCCCCACCCCACCCUGCUCUCGAGAAGACCGUUUCUUGCCCCGAAGUAUGGAAACCAUCGGCUGGAGGCACAUUUUUUAUGAAUCUCCUCACCUUGGCUCCCCACCCCACUGAGCAUAUUGCAGACUGUUCCCUCGGUUCUUGCUGGGCGAUCCUGCCAGGAACAGCCCCCAGUGAGGAGCUGAGCCUGGAGCUCGGUGCUGCCUUCAGAAGCAACUGUGACCCAUCGCCGCUCUGCACAUAGCCCUGGUCCGCGGGCCCCAGAGGCUGUGUUUCCAGCUUUUCCUUUCGUCCACCCAUGGAUGCUCUCGCCUCUCGUUUCUCCAGUAAAAGUGAUGAGAGAAGCAUCAGGAAACAAACCCCUCCUGAUACGUGUCGGGAGAUGAAACUCUUUUUCAAUCAUAGGUCACUGGAGGGGUGUGUGUGUGUGUUCUCAGUCGUGUCCGACUCUUUGUGACCCUAUGGACUGUAGUCCGCCAGGCUUCUGUGUCCUUGGGAUUCUCCAG